UACGAAGGGUGCAAACGUUGCUCGGAAUUAUUGGGCGUAAAGCGCACGUAGGCGGCCCAGCAAGUCGGAAGUGAAAUCCCACGGCUCAACCAUGGAAGUGCUUUCGAAACUGCUGGGCUUGAGUACAAAAGAGGAUCGCGGAAUUCCCGGUGUAGAGGUGAAAUUCGUAGAUAUCGGGAGGAACACCAGUGGCGAAGGCGGCGAUCUGGGUUGAUACUGACGCUGAGGUGCGAAAGCGUGGGGGAGCAAACAGG
rnacentral:rRNA from 1 species